GAUGAACGCUGGCGGCGUGCUUAACACAUGCAAGUCGAACGGGGUGCCUUUGAUUGAGACUUCGGUUGAUUGAUUUGGUUACCUAGUGGCGGACUGGUGCGUAACACGUGAGUAACCUGCCUCGGAGUGUGGAAUAACACAGCGAAAGUUGUGCUAAUACCGCAUAAUGUGGUUGUGCCGCAUGGUACUGACCACCAAAGAUUUAUUGCUGAAAGAUGGUCUCGCGUCUGAUUAGCUAGUUGGUGAGGUAACGGCUCACCAAGGCGACGAUCAGUAGCCGGUCUGAGAGGAUGAACGGCCACAUUGGGACUGAGAUACGGCCCAGACUCCUACGGGAGGCAGCAGUGGGGAAUAUUGGGCAAUGGGGGAAACCCUGACCCAGCAACGCCGCGUGAAGGAAGAAGGCCUUCGGGUUGUAAACUUCUUUUACCAGGGACGAAGAACGUGACGGUACCUGGAGAAAAAGCAACGGCUAACUACGUG
rnacentral:rRNA from 1 species